rnacentral:rRNA from 1 species
GCUGCCAGUUGCCAACGGGUACGAGCCGGGCACUCUGGCGGGACGUGCCAUCGACAAGAUGGAGGAAGUGGGGAGUGACGUCAAGUCAUCAUGGCCCGUUACUGUCCAGGGCGACACACGUGCUACAAUGGCCGGCACAGCGGGAAGCGAGGCAGUGAUGCCAAGCGGAUCCCUUAAAGCCGGUCUCAGUUCGGAUUGAAGUCUGCAACUCGACUUCAUGAAGCUGGAAUCGCUAGUAAUCGCAGAUCAGCCAAGCUGCGGUGAAUACGUUCCCGGGCCUU